GAUGAAGAACGUAGCGAAAUGCGAUAAGUAAUAUGAAUUGCAGAUUUUCGUGAAUCAUCGAAUCUUUGAACGCACAUUGCGCCCUUUGGUAUUCCAAAGGGCAUGCCUGUUUGAGCGUCAUUUCUCUCUCAAAUCUUCGGAUUUGGUUUUGAGUGAUACUCUUAGUCAGACUAGGCGUUUGCUUGAAAUGUAUUGGCAUGAGUGGUACUAGAUAGUGCUAAACUGUUUCAAUGUAUUAGGUUUAUCCAACUCGUUGACCAGUGAAGUAUUUGUUUAUUACACAGGCUCGGCCUUACAACAACAAACAAAGUUUGACCUCAAAUCAGGUAGGACUACCCGCUGAACUUAAGCAUAUCAUAAGCGGAGGA
rnacentral:misc_RNA from 1 species